rnacentral:lncRNA from 1 species
AUGUUGUCAAUAUAUCUAAAAUUUCUAUCAUUUUCCCUUUCUUUCUUUUCUAUCCCCUCUUCCUCAGGAACCUGGCUUCAUCCUACCACCAGACAUUGUGCUCAAACCAGGGAUGAAGAACUCUACUUGGCCACACUAGUGAAGAUGGGAAAGGAGCAAGGGGGAGAAGGCAGAGAUGUGGCAAUGCUGCGUCUCAGAUUUAUAGAGGAUGGCAGUGGUUCCCAGGGACUAUUAAGAACAGUCUUAUCCUUAAAGAAAAGAAAGUGAAUUGCACUGUGGAAGAAGACAUGAAGUGGUGGAAAAGACUCUGGUGUGGAGCUAAUAAAACCUGAGUUCUCUCUGUGAUCUGCUACUGUGCUGUUGAGUAUGCCACUUACUUUCCCUGCACCCAAGCUUACCAAUCUGUAAAAUAACAGGGUUGGAUUAAUGAUCUAUUAUUAGGGAUUCUAUGAGUCUUAUUUUGGGAGACAACUUUAUGAGAUAUGGAAUGUAUUUUCAUAAGGGAUCUGUGUUGACUGGAAAGAAUACAGAAUGUCCAUUAAGAACACUUGUGACAUGCCUGGUGGGCUUAGUCAGAAGAGCACACAACUCUUGAUCUUGGGGUCUUGAGUGUGAACCCCACAUUGGGAGUAGAGAUUACUAAAUAAAUAAACUUUAAAAAAAAGGGAGGAGUGGAACCUGGGUGGCUUAGUCAGUUGAGCAUCUGACUCUUGAUCUCAGCUCAGGUCUUGAUCUCAGGGUUGUGAGUCCAGGUCCUGUAUUGGGCUCCAUACUAGAAGUGCAGCCUACUAAAAAAAGAGCAUUUAUGACAAAAAUCACAGACCUGUCUCUUCAAGUAUCACUUGUAUCCUACCCUGGAAUCUGGGUCCUUAUUCUUUGCUUUGGAAAUGAGCAAUAGGUGGCUUAGCAGAAUGGGGAACAGGUGUGGAAGGAGCUAACAGGGACUUUGGAGAAAUGACAGACUUGCUUUCCUGAAAUAAGUUUGAGCCUUCAGCCAAACGACACGUGUAUAUUUCCAUAAAUAAAAAAAAAACUCAUGGUAAAUAUAGAUUCAUUAAAGAGUCUUAAAAAUUGGAUCUAGGCUUGGGAUAUAGGCUUGGGUACAGGACACGAUGCAAUCGUCCUCUCUCUCCUGACCUUUCCUUGUCUUUUCUUCACUCACCCAUGGGCUUUUUGUCCAAAAAGAAGAUGUGUCAGGACUCUGGUUAUAAAUACCUGAUCGGCUAAUUUAGUUCAAAAGAUUCUUAUUUUUUGAGUGAUGGGUACUGGAGAGGCUACAGCUUUAAAGGGACAACUGAACAAUUGAGAGCAGGACACCGGCUGCCCUGAGCUCAGCAGGGUAGCUGGGGAUCUUUUCUAUGUGGUGCUGCUAUGAGAUGAGCCUCUGUAUUUGUCUCAGCUCUAAAUCCAGAUUUUCCAGGAAGAGAUUCUGAUUGCCUAGCUUAGGUCCCAUGUCCAUCCUGUGAUCAGAGGGAAGGAUCCUGUGAUUAGCAACCUCACCUGCAGAGCAUGGGCCAGGAUGGAAAAGCCCCCCAAAGGUGUGUGUGUGUGGCGGAGUGGGGUCUGACAUGCUACCAUAAGGGAGAGUGGGGAGGUGCAGACAAACAUCAUAGUGUCUAAUGCUUCAAAACUUCUCAGGGAUAAUUGCAAAAACAGCAAGUUCAGUUAACACCAGUGUGUUCCCAUGGCACACCUGGGUAAUUUCAGGAGCUUUGAGGGCUGGCUGGUCAGAAGGCUGACAUCCAGCAGUAGUUUAUAUCAUAGAGGGUACAGCCAACUUUUUUUUUCUUCUUAUGAGGCUUGUUAUGGUUGACAUUCAAUAAUAUUCAUUAACUGAUUGGCUGAAUGAAUGAAUGACACAACUCUUACAUAGGCUAGGGGAGGACUUCUGUUCAACACUAGCCUGAGCUGAAUUUGUUUAGAAACUGCUUAAUUAUGAACCUUUCAGCUGCAAGUGAUUGAAGCCCAUCAAAGCUAUCUUUAAUGAAAGAUGGUCCUUGCUGGGCUAUCAUUCCGGUGGGCAGGGACAGAUUUGAACCUCGUCCUGAAUAUCAGGGAGCCUCUGCCUCUUGUCUUCCCUCCUCUCCAAGCCUCUGCUCCACGCUUCCACCCAGAUGUGGCAGCUUGGCAUUCUUUAACUGUCAAGCUACCUUGUCAGAAGAUAGUGGUCCAUGCCUCCAGAAUUUGUAUCUCUUCUUCUCAAAGCCCCAGGUGACUGUGACCAACUGACCUUCAGUCCCAUUCCAAACACAGAACAGGGACUCUACAUGUCCUACCUGGGGCAAGGGGUCUGCUCCUAAUUCAAUCAAGUAAAAUGGCUGGUGGUGCUUAGAGGAGGUGGGAUGGGAAGGGAGCACCAUUACAUCAUGAAUUUGGCUCCAGGAGUUCUUGGAAAAGAAAGGAUGUGAACAG